AUUGAACGCUGGCGGCAUGCCUUACACAUGCAAGUCGAACGGCAGCGCGGGGCAACCUGGCGGCGAGUGGCGAACGGGUGAGUAAUAUAUCGGAACGUACCCUGGAGUGGGGGAGUAACGUAGCGAAGUUACGCUAAUACCGCAUACGAUCUAAGGAGUGAAAGUAGGGGGAGUCGCAAGAACCUCAUGCUCCUGGAGCGGCCGAUAUCUGAUUAGCUAGUUGG
rnacentral:rRNA from 1 species